AUUGAACGCUGGCGGCAGGCCUAACACAUGCAAGUCGCACGAGUGGCGGACGGGUGAGUAACAAGUGGGAAUCUACCAAUAGGUGGGGAAUAACAGGCCGAAAGGAAUGCUAAUGCCGCAUACGUUUGGAUGAGCCCGCGUCCGAUUAGGUAGUUGGUAGGGUAAAAGCCUACCAAGGCGACGAUCGGUAGGUGGUCUGAGAGGAUGACCAGCACCACUGGAACGGAGACACGGGCCAGACUCCUACGUGAGGCAGCAGUGGGGAAUAUUGCACAAUGGGCGCAAGCCUGAUGCAGCCAUGCCGCGUGUAUGAAGAAGGCCUUCGGGUUGUAAAGUACUUUCAGCGGGGAGGCGUUACCCGCAGAAGAAGCACCGGCUAACUCCGUGCCAGCAGCCGCGGUAAUUC
rnacentral:rRNA from 1 species